rnacentral:tRNA from 1 species
GUAGCUCAGUGGUAGAGCAUGUGCUUAGCAUGCGCAAGUAUCUGGGGUUCAAUCCCCAGC